GAUGAACGCUGGCGGCGUGCCUAAUACAUGCAAGUCGAGCGAACAGACGAUGAGCUUGUUCCUCUGACGUUAGCGGCGGACGGGUGAGUAACAAGUGGAUCACCUUCCUCUAUGACGUGGAUAACUUCGUAAAACCGCAUCUACUACUGCCGAAUAUGUCGAACGGGAUGGAUCAAUAGUGCAACACGGUUUUGCCGUUACUUAUAGCUGGAUCCGCGCCGCAUUAGCUAGUUGGUAAGGUAACGGCUUACCAAGGCAACGAUGCGUAGCUGAUCUGAGAGGGUGAUCGGCCACACUGGAACUGAGACACGGUCCAGACUCCUACGGGAGGCAGCAGUAGGGAAUCUUCCGCAAUGGGCGAAAGCCUGACGGAGCAACGCCGCGUGAGUGAUGAAGGUCUUCGGAUCGUAAAACUCUGUUAUUAGGGAAGAACAAAUGUGUAAGUAACUACGCACGUCUUGACGGUACCUAAUCAGAAAGCAACGGCUAACUACGUG
rnacentral:rRNA from 1 species